CAAACGACUCUCGGCAACGGAUAUCUCGGCUCACGCAUCGAUGAAGAASGUAGCAAAAUGCGAUACUUGGUGUGAAUUGCAGAAUCCCGUGAACCAUCGAGUUUUUGAACGCAAGUUGCGCCCGAAGCCAUUCGGCUGAGGGCACGCCUGCCUGGGCGUCACGC
rnacentral:rRNA from 1 species